rnacentral:rRNA from 1 species
GACGAACGCUGGCGGCGUGCUUAACACAUGCAAGUCGAACGGAAAGGCCCUGCUUUUGUGGGGUGCUCGAGUGGCGAACGGGUGAGUAACACGUGAGUAAUCUGCCCUUGACUUUGGGAUAACUUCAGGAAACUGGGGCUAAUACCGGAUAGGAGCUCCUGCUGCAUGGUGGGGGUUGGAAAGUUUCGGCGGUUGGGGAUGGACUCGCGGCUUAUCAGCUUGUUGGUGGGGUAGUGGCUUACCAAGGCUUUGACGGGUAGCCGGCCUGAGAGGGUGACCGGCCACAUUGGGACUGAGAUACGGCCCAGACUCCUACGGGAGGCAGCAGUGGGGAAUAUUGCACAAUGGGCGGAAGCCUGAUGCAGCAACGCCGCGUGCGGGAGGACGGCCUUCGGGUUGUAAACCGCUUUCGCCUGUGACGAAGCGUGAGUGACGGUAAUGGGUAAAGAAGCACCGGCUAACUACGU